rnacentral:rRNA from 1 species
UACGUAGGCAGCAAGCGUUGUUCGGAAUUACUGGGCGUAAAGAGUGUGUAGGCGGUGUUCUAAGUCUGUUGUGAAAUCUCCCGGCUUAACUGGGAGGGUGCGGCGGAAACUGGAAUGCUAGAGGAUGGGAGAGGUAAGCGGAAUUCCUGGUGUAGCGGUGAAAUGCGUAGAUAUCAGGAGGAACACCUGUGGCGAAGGCGGCCUGCUGGGCAGUAGCUGACGCUGAGGCGCGACAGCGUGGGGAGCAAACAGG